GAUGAACGCUGGCGGCGUGCCUAAUACAUGCAAGUCGAGCGAACAGACGAGGAGCUUGCUCCUCUGACGUUAGCGGCGGACGGGUGAGUAACACGUGGAUAACCUACCUAUAAGACUGGGAUAACUUCGGGAAACCGGAGCUAAUACCGGAUAAUAUAUUGAACCGCAUGGUUCAAUAGUGAAAGACGGUUUUGCUGUCACUGAUAGAUGGAUCCGCGCCGCAUUAGCUAGUUGGUAAGGUAACGGCUUACCAAGGCAACGAUGCGUAGCCGACCUGAGAGGGUGAUCGGCCACACUGGAACUGAGACACGGUCCAGACUCCUACGGGAGGCAGCAGUAGGGAAUCUUCCGGAAUGGGCGAAAGCCUAACGGAGCAACGCCGCGUGAGUGAUGAAGGUCUUCGGAUCGUAAAACUCUGUUAUUAGGGAAGAACAAAUGUGUAAGUAACUAUGAACGUCUUGACGGUACCUAAUCAGAAAGCCACGGCUAACUACGUG
rnacentral:rRNA from 1 species